UCUUCGUCCUCGCAGGAAACAAAGUCAGACUCAUUAAGAAUAUGAAGUUUACCUCUGCCAUUUUCAUGAUGGCGGUACUGGCAGUGUUCCUCGCCAUGAUGACUGCCGCGGAGGAGGGAACCGAGAACACGGGUGGUGGAGGCAAUCAUGGCAGCGGAUGCCCAGACGCCGAUGAAUGCACCAAAAGCUGCAAAAAAAUGGGUUUCAGCGCAGGCAUAUGCCUCGAACCUCUGCUGGAGAUCUGCCUGUGCCUCUAAUUUUCAUUUAAGUCCAUUAUUGGCUGGCAAUAAACCUCGGGUACACGAGUGAUCAAUAUAUGUGUCAUAUUUACUGCCUCACAAUC